rnacentral:rRNA from 1 species
AGAGUUUGAUUCUGGCUCAAGAUGAACGCUGGCGGCGUGCCUAACACAUGCAAGUCGAGCGAAGCAUUUAACAUGAAGUUUUCGGAUGGAAUGUUAUCUGACUGAGCGGCGGACGGGUGAGUAACGCGUGGGUAACCUGCCUUAUACAGGGGGAUAACAGUUAGAAAUGACUGCUAAUACCGCAUAAGCGCACAGUACUGCAUGGUACAGUGUGAAAAACUCCGGUGGUAUAAGAUGGACCCGCGUCUGAUUAGCCAGUUGGCGGGGUAACGGCCCACCAAAGCGACGAUCAGUAGCCGACCUGAGAGGGUGACCGGCCACAUUGGGACUGAGACACGGCCCAAACUCCUACGGGAGGCAGCAGUGGGGAAUAUUGCACAAUGGGGGAAACCCUGAUGCAGCAACGCCGCGUGAGUGAAGAAGUAUUUCGGUAUGUAAAGCUCUAUCAGCAGGGAAGAAGAUGACGGUACCUGAUUAAGAAGCCCCGGCUAACUACGUGCCAGCAGCCGCGGUAAUACGUAGGGGGCAAGCGUUAUCCGGAUUUACUGGGUGUAAAGGGAGCGCAGACGGCAGUGCAAGUCUGGAGUGAAAGCCCGGGGCCCAACCCCGGAACUGCUCUGGAAACUGUGCGGCUAGAGUACUGGAGGGGCAGGCGGAAUUCCUAGUGU